rnacentral:ncRNA from 1 species
CAUCGCCCGUCGCUGCCCGGGACUGAUAUUGAAACCGAAUAUCUGCGAUGGAAAUACUGUGGUGGAAAUCGUCUUAAUCGCAGUGGCUUGAACCGGGCAAAAGUCGCAACAAGGUUUCCGUUGGUGAACCUGCGGAAG